GAUUCUGCUAAUGGGCAAUAAAAUAGGCUACUGAGCAUUAAGUGUCGCUUAAAAACAGUGCACAUUUGUUACCACUCAUUAAGGCGGCCUAAUGAGUAUUUGUUUAGUAC